GUCUGUACUCCGGUUUCCUCCCCCGGUCCAAAGACAUGCAUGGGUGUAUCCUGCCUCGAUGCCCGAUGACGCCUGAGAUAGACACAGGCUCCCCGUGACCCGAGAAGUUCGGAUAAGUGGUAGAAGAUGAUGUCCACUUAAUGUUUAAAGAACCAAGUAGUGGUAUGUGGGUGGAGCUACAAGCAGCACAGAUCACCGAUUGGUGGGAGGGCUCUGUGACGCUCACCGAUUAACCUCAUCCAUGAUGUGGAGCAGCUGAGUGAAUCCUCAGCAGUCUGUCCUACACCAGGUGCCAUACUGUAAUGAUUGGUGUGAUCAGAGUGAGGAACAUGGUGAAGGUGAUGGUGAUGUUCUGAAGAAAGUCCUGACUAUCGGAGAAGGAAUAUGUGGUGACCGAUGGUGAAACGUUCCAGAGCCUAAAAGGAAUUCCAUGAUGAGACCUGGUUAUCUUUCACUUGGUAUAAGAGCACUUUCCUAGAGCAGGUCCUUGUGUGUGUCUGUAACUGGAAUCAUUACAGUAUAUUAUUGUGACGUUUUUUUUUUUGUCACAUUACAAACAAACCUUCACACGACUUGACACCUUCCUACUUGAACAACCUGAUAAAUGUUAGCUUUGUAGAUCUCUUAUUAGUUUCCCCAGAGGAAAAAUCCAAAAGAAAUGGUGUGUGUGUGUGUGUGAGAGAGAGAGAGAGAGAGAGAGAGAGAGAGAGAGAGAGAGAAUAAAAGGCUAAAUCUAAGUGCUAAUUAGUCGUGUUUUGUUGAACACAGCAUGACAAUAAACAGGAAGAAUCUGGAGACCAAUUAACUCUUCUUCAGGUCAUGGGGUUGAUGAACACACACACACACACACGCGCAAACACACACACACACGCACGGUUCAGAACAUUGUGUGUGUGUGUUUGUCCAUGCCAACAUGCUCAGGCUCUUCUUCUCCUCCUGGGACUUCUAUACUGACACAAAGAAAACAUUCUUCUUCAUGAUGUGAGAUUUCAUCCAGACACAGAAGUGGAUUGUGUUUGUUGCCUUCAAGCUUUUCAAACCUUCUAAAAAAAAGUUAAUCAUGAUGAAACUUUCCUAAAGACAAACUACAAUCAGUAGGAGCUAAACAAUUCCUGGCUAUUAUAAAACUCCAGCACAUAUUCACAUUACAACAGCUGGAACAUUUUCUUCUGCGAUUUUAUUGGUCUGAUUCUUACAUGCUGUGUCUUUUACACGGAGACGUGGCUCGACAACAGAGUUCCGGACGCCGCCAAUUAGCUGAUGGGAUCUCCCCGUUUCACACUGACAGAAAUGCUCUGUGCGGUAAGACUGGUGGUGGUGGUGUGUGUGUUUACAUCAACACAGAAUGGUGUAAGAACUCUGUGCUUGUUUCUACUUACGGCUCAUUGCUAGUGGAGUUUGUGACUGUUACAGUAGAUGCAGGCCAUUUUAUUUACCACGGGAAUUCACUAUUGUCUCAGUGUUCACUCGUCAGACGCUUGGUUCUGAAGCAGGUGAGAACCUGACCAGCAGGAGCCACCUCUGCUCUUCAGGGCUGCUUUGAGUGCAUUGACUGGAACAUCUUCAGGGACUCUGUCAACUUGGAAGAGUACACGGCUUCAGUGACCAGCUACAUCGGCAAGUGCACCAAGAUCCUGUUACCACCCUCUCUGUACCCCCUGCAUUUUGCAUGGCCCUUUAUUUAGCCCUCAUGAAUGCUGUUCGUAGACUUUAGCGUUCAACACAAUCAUCCGUCAGCACCUGAUUGAG